rnacentral:rRNA from 1 species
CCUACGGGUGGCUGCAGUAGGGAAUAUUGCUCAAUGGGGGAAACUCUGAAGCAGCAACGCCGCGUGGAGGAUGAAGGUUUUCGGAUUGUAAACUCCUUUUGUUAGAGAAGAUAAUGACGGUAUCUAACGAAUAAGCACCGGCUAACUACGUGCCAGCAGCCGCGGUAAUACGUAGGGUGCAAGCGUUACUCGGAGUAACUGGGUGUAAAGGGCGCGUAGGUGGGAUAGCAAGUCAGAUGUGAAAUCCUAUGGCUUAACCAUAGAACUGCAUUUGAAACUGGUAUUCUAGAGUAUAGGAGAGGUAGGUGGAAUUCUUGGUGUAGGGGUAAAAUCCGUAGAGAUCAAGAGGAAUACUCAUUGCGAAGGCGACCUGCUAGAACAUAACUGACGCUGAGGCGCGAAAGCGUGGGGAGCAAACAGGAUUAGAUACCCGAGUAGUC